rnacentral:rRNA from 1 species
CCUACGGGUGGCUGCAGUGGGGAAUAUUGGACAAUGGGGGCAACCCUGAUCCAGCCAUGCCGCGUGUGUGAAGAAGGCCCUCGGGUUGUAAAGCACUUUCAGUGAGGAAGAACGCCUGGUGGUUAAUACCCAUCAGGAAAGACAUCACUCACAGAAGAAGCACCGGCUAACUCCGUGCCAGCAGCCGCGGUAAUACGGAGGGUGCGAGCGUUAAUCGGAAUUACUGGGCGUAAAGCGCGCGUAGGUGGCUUGAUAAGCCGGUUGUGAAAGCCCCGGGCUCAACCUGGGAACGGCAUCCGGAGCUGUCAAGCUAGAGUGCAGGAGAGGAAGGUAGAAUUCCCGGUGUAGCGGUGAAAUGCGUAGAGAUCGGGAGGAAUACCAGUGGCGAAGGCGGCCUUCUGGACUGACACUGACACUGAGGUGCGAAAGCGUGGGUAGCAAACAGGAUUAGAUACCCUAGUAGUC